rnacentral:rRNA from 1 species
ACUCAAAGGAAUUGACGGGGGCCCGCACAAGCAGCGGAGCGUGUGGUUUAAUUCGAGGCUACACGAAGAACCUUACCUGGACUUGACAUGCAAGUAGUAGGUCAUGGAAACAUGACCGACCGCAAGGAGCUUGCACAGGUGCUGCAUGGCUGUCGUCAGCUCGUGCCGUGAGGUGUAGGGUUAAGUCCUGAAACGAGCGCAACCCUCGGCGUUAGUUAAAAUGUCUAACGCAACUGCCCGUGACAAGCGGGAGGAAGGUGGGGAUGACGUCAAGUCAGCAUGGCCUUUAUGUCCAGGGCGACACACACGCUACAAUGGUCGGUACAAUGGGCAGCCAAGCCGCAAGGCGGAGCUAAUCCAAUCAAAGCCGGCCUCAGUUCAGAUUGUGGGCUGCAACUCGCCCACAUGAAGUCGGAGUUGCUAGUAACCGCGCGUCAGCAGAGUGCGGUGAAUACGUUCCCGGGCCUUGUACACACCGCCCGU